UGGCGGUUUUCUACACCCUGUCAGAGAGAUGUGUAUUUAAACGAAAUCGCACGAAAAUCUUACCUUAUUUUGGUUACUGGGAAACUUUAAUUUUGUAUUAAUAGACUGAACAGACAUCCUGUACACCUCCGUCGGAAGGAAUUUUUUUAAGAAAAUUUCCUAUUUCUUCUUUGAAGAAAUAAGUCAGGUCAAGGUGCAGACUAUAAUAAGGACAACAUGCAUUAAAAUUAUUUAGUUAUUGUUUUAAAUUUUAACAUUUGAAACAAUAAAUUUGACAGUAAGAAAAUUUUUUAGUAAAAUUUUCUGAAUAGGUAAUAGAAAAUGCACACAUCGCCCG
rnacentral:rRNA from 1 species